UCUUAAUUAAAAAUAAUACAGAUUUAAAAUUAAGAUGUCCUAGACGACAGUGCCACACCUCACUUGACACUUUUGAUUUCUCCACCAUAGAAACUUCAGGUGGGUGUUUUAUUGAGAGUGACAUUGGAUAAAAUCCAUCCUCCUCUUGAUCCACAGUGAGAACCUUCUUAGUUUCCCGAUCCAUGACCUUGGAUUGCUGUUCAUUAAAUUCAAUAGC
rnacentral:lncRNA from 1 species